ACAAUCUAACCCCCCCCCCCUUUUUUAGAUGUUUUUCCUGGCUGAGAUAACACUCUGGCCACACGUAUCACACAUACAUGUAUGAGCCAUAAGCACAGUAACCUGGUUCUUUGCUGACGAGCGGCGGACGGGUGAGUAAUGUCUGGGAAACUGCCUGAUGGAGGGGGAUAACUACUGGAAACGGUAGCUAAUACCGCAUAACGUCGCAAGACCAAAGAGGGGGACCUUCGGGCCUCUUGCCAUCAGAUGUGCCCAGAUGGGAUUAGCUAGUAGGUGGGGUAACGGCUCACCUAGGCGACGAUCCCUAGCUGGUCUGAGAGGAUGACCAGCCACACUGGAACUGAGACACGGUCCAGACUCCUACGGGAGGCAGCAGUGGGGAAUAUUGCACAAUGGGCGCAAGCCUGAUGCAGCCAUGCCGCGUGUAUGAAGAAGGCCUUCGGGUUGUAAAGUACUUUCAGCGGGGAGGAAGGUGUUGAGGUUAAUAACCUCAGCAAUUGACGUUACCCGCAGAAGAAGCACCGGCUAACUCCGUGCCAGCAGCCGCGGUAAUACGGAGGGUGCAAGCGUUAAUCGGAAUUACUGGGCGUAAAGCGCACGCAGGCGGUCUGUCAAGUCGGAUGUGAAAUCCCCGGGCUCAACCUGGGAACUGCAUUCGAAACUGGCAGGCUAGAGUCUUGUAGAGGGGGGUAGAAUUCCAGGUGUAGCGGUGAAAUGCGUAGAGAUCUGGAGGAAUACCGGUGGCGAAGGCGGCCCCCUGGACAAAGACUGACGCUCAGGUGCGAAAGCGUGGGGAGCAAACAGGAUUAGAUACCCUGGUAGUCCACGCCGUAAACGAUGUCGACUUGGAGGUUGUGCCCUUGAGGCGUGGCUUCCGGAGCUAACGCGUUAAGUCGACCGCCUGGAGACCCCCCUGG
rnacentral:rRNA from 1 species